rnacentral:rRNA from 1 species
AGAAUCAACGCUGGCGGCGUGCCUAACACAUGCAAGUCGAACGCGACUGAGGGCUUCGGUUCUCAGUUGAGUGGCGAACGGGUGAGUAACACGUGGGUGAUCUACCUUCGAGCGGGGGAUAACGUUCCGAAAGGAACGCUAAUACCGCAUGACGUUCUGGGUUUAAAGACCUGGAAACCAAAGCCGGGGACCGCAAGGCCUGGCACUUGAAGAGGAGCCCGCGUCCGAUUAGCUAGUUGGCGGGGUAAUGGCCCACCAAGGCGACGACGGGUA